rnacentral:rRNA from 1 species
UUCCGGUUGAUCCUGCCGGACCUGACUGCUAUCGGAUUGAUACUAAGCCAUGCGAGUCUUUGCAGUAAUGCAAGGCGGACUGCUCAGUAACACGUAGUCAACUUAACCUAUGGAUGGGUAUAACCUCGGGAAACUGAGAAUAAUUCCCAAUAGAUCAUUUAUCCUGGAAUGGUUGAUGAUUGAAAUGAUUCGUCGCCAUAGGAUGGGACUGCAGCCUAUCAGCUUGUUGGUGAGGUAAAGGCCCACCAAGGCUAUUACAGGUACGGGCUCUGAGAGGAGAAGCCCGGAGAUGGGUACUGAGACAAGGACCCAGGCCCUAUGGGGCGCAGCAGGCGAGAAAACUUUGCAAUGUGCGAAAGCACGACAAGGUUAGUCCGAGUGAUUUCUGCUAAAGAGAUCUUUUGCAAGUUCUAAAACCACUAGUGAAUAAGGGGUGGGCAAGUUCUGGUGUCAGCCGCCGCGGUAAAACCAGCACCUCAAGUGGUCAGGAGGAUUAUUGGGCCUAAAGCAUCCGUAGCCGGCUCUGUAAGUUUUCGGUUAAAUCUACAUGCUCAACGUAUAGGCUGCCGAAAAUACUGCACAGCUAGGGGAUGGGAGAGGUAGACGGUACUCGGUAGGAAGGGGUAAAAUCCUUUGAUCUAUCGAUGACCACCUGUGGCGAAGGCGGUCUACCAGAACAUGUUCGACGGUGAGGGAUGAAAGCUGGGGGAGCAAACCGGAUUAGAUACCCGGGUAGUCCCAGCUGUAAACGAUGCAGACUCGAUAAUGCAUUGGCACAUAGCCAGUGCAGUGUCGCAGGGAAGCCGUUAAGUCUGCCGCCUGGGAAGUACGUACGCAAGUAUGAAACUUAAAGGAAUUGGCGGGGGAGCACCACAAGGGGUGAAGCCUGCGGUUCAAUUGGAUUCAACGCCGGG